rnacentral:misc_RNA from 1 species
UUUGCUAUAAAUAAUGUAUGAAUCUUUAAAAAGGAAAAUUUGUACUUGACAAUUCAGACUACAGAGAGGUAUCAGAAGGAAUUAGAGAUUACCGAAACGUUAUUUGCAUUAGGUUAUCUCAUUUACACAACGAAAAAAAUGGCGGUAGAGACUUAUAUUUAUGUUUAAAGACAGAAGAGCAAAAAAAUUGUUUACUAAAGGUCCUCCAUGAUAAUAUUGAAAUUAUAUCUAGCCAAGCAGAAUAUAUUGAAGAUACAAAUGAAUAUCCAACAAAAUUCAUUCCUUUCGAUAAUGAUAACCCACUUUUGAAAAAGUUAGAAAGUAUGAGAAACAAUUUACGAAAUCAAAAUGAAAACGAAACUUUUUACAUUGAUGCAUCGACUAAUGACUUUUAUUUUUCAGCUCAAGAAAUUACAAACAUUUUUAAAUGUUACAAGUUUAUUGCAACAAAGUUAUGACUGUGGCUUCACUUACUAAUUUGAUCAUUUCGUCAACGAAGUUGUAAACCAAUAUAAAAGUUUUAAACCAAUAACAACAAGCUUUUUAAGACUUCAGAAUUUUAAGAAUCAAGAUAAUUCUUGUUGCGGCUCAAAUGGUUCUUUUUGCAAAUUAAUCUACAUUCGUUAUCACUGCAAAAUAAUCUACAUUCGUUAUCGUAGCAAAUUAUUCUUCAUUCGUUAUCGUUGCAAAUUGAUCUACAUUUGUUAUCGUUGCAAAUUAAUCUACAUUCAUUAUCGUUUUGAAUGCGCUUGUUGCUUAUUAAA